GAUGAAGAACGUAGCGAAAUGCGAUAAGUAGUGUGAAUUGCAGAAUUCAGUGAAUCAUCGAAUCUUUGAACGCGCAUUGCGCCCCUUGGUAUCCCGAGGGGCAUGCCUGUUCGAGCGUCAUUUCACCACUCAAGCCUGGCUUGGUGUUGGGCGACGUCCCCUUUAGGGACGCGCCUCGAAACGCUCGGCGGCGCGGCACCGGCUUUAAGCGUAGCAGAAUCUUUCGCUUUGGAAGUCGGGGCCCCGCCUGCCGGAAUACCUACUUGUAAGGUUGACCUCGGAUCAGGCAGGGAUACCCGCUGAACUUAAGCAUAUCAAUAAGCGGAGGA
rnacentral:misc_RNA from 1 species